GGGGCAAGUAUGUAAGAAGGCCAGACAGGUACACAUUGCUGUUUAAAAUGGAUAACCAACAAGGACUUACAGUAGAGCGCAUGGAACUCUGCUCAGUGUUAUGUGGCAGCCUGGACGGGAGUGGAGUUGGGGGAGAAUGGAUACAUGUAUAUGUAUGGUUGAGUCCCUUCGCUGUUCACCCGAAACUAUCACAACAUUGUUAAAUUAAUAUACCCCAAUACAAAAAGUUUUUUUUUAAGUCCUGAUUCUGUACCUUUAAAACUUAUUAAAUUAUGGGUGUCUGGGGACUUUCUAAUCUCAUUAAUAUGCCUAUUUCUGCCUAGGGUCACUCUAUAUAAGAAUUAUAUCUAUAAAAUGUAAAAAUACAUUUUAAUUUCUAAAAAUUCACGUCUUCCUUCAUAAGAUUCAUUUUCAAAAUUUCUUGGACUUCCCUGGUGAUCCAGCGGUUAAUAAUCCACCUGCCAAGGCAGGGAACAUGGGUUUAAUCGCUGGUCCAGGAAGAUUUCACAUGAAUGUUGGGAACUAAGCCCCUGUACCACAACUACUGAGCCAGUACCCCUAGGGCCUUUGAGCCACAACAAGGGGACCUACCACAAUGACAAGCCCGUACACUGCAACUGGAGAGUAGCCCCCACUCCCCACAACUAAAGGAAGCCUAGGCAAAACAGCAAAGACCAGAGCAGCCAAAAAAUAAAUG
ensembl:lncRNA